UACAGAGGUCCCAAGCGUUGUUCGGAUUCACUGGGCGUAAAGGGUGCGUAGGUGGUGAGGUAAGUCGGAUGUGAAAGCUCCGAGCUCAACUCGGAAAUGGCAUUGGAAACUACCUUGCUCGAGGGUUUGAGGGGGGACUGGAAUACUUGGUGUAGCAGUGAAAUGCGUAGAUAUCAAGUAGAACACCAGUGGCGAAGGCGAGCCCCUGGAAAACUCCUGACACUGAGGCACGAAAGCUAGGGGAGCAAACAGG
rnacentral:rRNA from 1 species